rnacentral:lncRNA from 1 species
AAAAAAGGGAAUCUAACCUCUUACCGUGCUAUAAAAAGAGAGAAUAAUGGCGUGCAUAUAAAUCCCAGCGGGUUCACCGAAAUGGCAAGGCAUUUUUCCUCACCUUUUUCUCCUUCCUCUCUUCCCGUUUUCUCUCUCUCGUCCGUCUCUUUCCGGUCUUUCUCCACGGUUGGAGAGAGAAAGAGAGUGGACUCUGGGCGGAGUUUGGCCCUAAGAAACCCUAGAAAUCUUCUCUUUUUCUCCGCACUCCUUAUCUCGACUCCAUGGUAAGCUUAGAUACGAGAAGAUCUUUAGAAAUCUUUCUUCUUCUUCUUCUUCUUCUUCUUUCUUUUUUUUUUUUUUUUUUUG